AGAGUUUGACCCUAGCUCAGGAUGAACGCUAGCGGAGCGCCUAACACAUGCAAGUCAAACGGGUUUAUUAUUGUAGCAAUACGAUGAUAAACUAGUGGCAAACGGGCGAGUAACACGUAUCUAAUUUGCUCUGGAGACGGGUAUAACUAUAGAGAUAUAGCUAAUCCCCGAUACGAUUUGGUAAAUGAAAAUAACCAAAUGAAAUGAAUUUCGCUCUAGAAGAAGGGUGCGGCCUAUCAGGUAGUUGGUGAGGUAAUGGCUCACCAAGCCUAUGACGGGUAGCCGGUCUGAGAGGAUGUCCGGCCGCAAUGGAACUGAGACACGGUCCAUACCCCUACGGGGGGCAGCAGUGGGGAAUAUUGGACAAUGGGCGAAAGCCUGAUCCAGCGACUCCGCGUGAAGGAUGAAGCUUUACGGAGUGUAAACUUCUUUUUUGGGAGAAAACGAAUGAUGGUAUCCCAAGAAUAAGAGACGGCUAACUACGUGCCAGCAGCCGCGGUAAUACGUAGGUCUCGAGCGUUAUCCGGAUUUACUGGGCGUAAAGAGUCCGUAGCAGGAUUUGUAAGUCUGUUUUCAAAUAUUCUGACUUAAUCAGAAAAAGGGAGCAGAUACUGCAAAUCUGGAGGUUUUUAGAGGAUAGUGGAAUUUCCAGUGGAGAGGUGAAAUUUGUUGAUAUUGGAAGGAACGCCGAAAGCGAAAGCAGCUAUCUAUAACAACCUGACUGUGAGGGACGAAAGCUUGGGUAGCAAACGGGAUUAGAUACCCCGGUAGUCCAAGCCGUAAAUUAUGCUUGCUAGAUGUUUCCAUUUUAUGGAAGUGUCGUAACCUAACGGGUUAAGCAAGCCGCCUGGGUAGUAUACUCGCAAGAGUGAAACUCAAAGGGAUAGGCGGGGGAACACACAAGCAGUGGAUUGUCUCGAUUAAUUGGAUAACAAGCCAAGAACCUUACCAGGACUUGACAUGCAUUGUGUCUACGAUGAAAGUCGUAUAUCCGUAGCAAUACGGAGCUUUGCACAGGUGGUGCAUGGUCGUCGUCAGCUCGUGCCGCAAGGUGUCUAGUUAAGUCUAGGAACGAGCGCAACCCUCAUCUCUAGUUAGAAUGUCUAGAGAGACUGCCUCGGCAACGAGGAGGAAGGAGUGGACAACGUCAGAUCCUCAUGCCCCUUAUGUCCUGGGCGUCAUAGACAAUACAAUGGGUAGUACAGUGAGAAGCAAUAUCGUGAGAUGGAGCAAAUCUUUAAAACUACCCCCAGUUCAGAUUGUAGUCUGCAACUCGACUACAUGAAGUCGGAAUUGCUAGUAAU
rnacentral:rRNA from 1 species